GCCAACGCCCAUACCGCGUUGAAAGUACUCGUUCCCGUCCGAUCACAAAAGUCAAGCAGGGCUGGGCACGGAUAGAGUACACAGAUGGGUGACCGCUUGGGAACUCCGUGUGGUGUUGGCU
rnacentral:rRNA from 13 species